UGGUGGCGAUGGCGGAGGGGAACCACGCGUUCCCAUACCGAACACGACCGUUAAGCCCUCCAGCGCCGAUGGUACUUGGACCGCAGGGUCCUGGGAGAGUAGGACGUCGCCAAGCG
rnacentral:rRNA from 1 species